UACGGAGGGGGGCUAGCGUUGUUCGGAAUUACUGGGCGUAAAGCGUACGUAGGCGGCUAUUUAAGUCAGAGGUGAAAGCCCGGGGCUCAACUCCGGAAUUGCCUUUGAAACUAGGUAGCUUGAACAUGGGAGAGGUAAGUGGAAUUCCGAGUGUAGAGGUGAAAUUCGUAGAUAUUCGGAGGAACACCAGUGGCGAAGGCGGCUUACUGGACCAUUGUUGACGCUGAGGUGCGAAAGCGUGGGGAGCAAACAGG
rnacentral:rRNA from 1 species